rnacentral:lncRNA from 1 species
UAAUAAAUUCUAUUCAAGUAGAAAAACAAACACAUACAUUCUCGCACACUUAAACAUUAGAAAUUCUACUCCGUAUAAGAAAAUUCAGAUAAUAUGCCCCUCCAGACUCCCCUGAUACCUCAUUGCCAGUCGCAUCUGAACCAAAAGCUACAUAUAACUGAGAACCUAACUAAGCUCAAAAUGAAGGACAAUACAUUCAAGAGUUUCACUGGGACAAUACAUUCAAGAGUUUCACUGGGUACCCAUUGCAAGAUCAUGCCAAGUAUCUUCAUUCACCUGUUGAGGCUCCUGGUCUGAAACAAAACAAAAGGAAGGAAAAAAAAAAACCCUUAAAAACAGUUAAAAAGCCAGUAGAUGAAGUCAGAUGGAAAAUAUACAAGAGCAAAAUCUGUGCAUGAUGCAUAACAAAUUAAGAGAACAAACAAUUGACAUUGGUGCACAGAUUACAUGUCUUCCCCAUACUACCAAUCACUGAACAGACAAAACAAAACCUCAAUAUGUGCAAACUUCAUCUUUAUGCAUUCGUUGGACACUGACAAUUACACACAAGCUCAGGUAAGGGGAAGAGAGAAAGAAAAUAUAACAGUUGCAUAUAUAUUAUCACUUAAAAUGAUGUCUGCGCUGUCCAAUAAUAGACAUGUUCGAUGAAGCACCAAAAGCCAUUAAGAUUGGCGGGCAUACUAUAUAUAAAGAAAGUUAUAACCAAAGAGACAUACUUGAGUCUUCAGUAUCAUCAGGUCGAACAACCAGCACUGGUGGCAAUGGGAGAUCUGCAUUAAUACAGAUUUACGAUAAGAACAAAAAUAUGACAAAACUAAAAAAACUACAUCAACCACGUCGAAAGCUGAAUGUGAAAGAAAUGUUACCAUCAUCAGGUAGAGUGUCUCUCAUCCAUUCUUCAUCCACAAUAUCAAUUAGGAUUCCCUGGCUUAGUUCUGCCAUAUCCAAUCUGUACCUGUAACAUCAAUCAAACCACAAACUCAAAUGCGAAAAGCAAAUAGUUGAACUCCAUUGAAAAUAAAUAGAAAUUAAUUAAAAGUUGAAAACCCAUUUAACCAACCUCGAGUUUUAGGCGAGCAAAGAUAAAUAGUAUAAAAAAAAAAAAAAACCACUAAGAGUAAGACAGUUUCAGUUUCAAAGAAGAAAGAACUAAAAUGGCUGUCAAAAAUUGCAGAUUGGCUCCAGUGCGUAAGAUAAGAAACAUCAACAACCAAUUAAAGAGUCUAAUUCACAAGUUAGUUUCUUUCCCCAGAAAGCAAAACAAGAUCAACAUUAUAUGCAUUCAAUCUGAAGAUGAUUAUUCUUAUUAUGUUUGGUAAAAAAUCAGUAACAAUCUAUUAG